GACGAACGCUGGCGGCGUGCUUAACACAUGCAAGUCGAGCGGUAAGGCCCUUUCGGGGUACACGAGCGGCGAACGGGUGAGUAACACGUGGGUGACCUGCCCUUAGCUCUGGGAUAAGCCUGGGAAACUGGGUCUAAUACCGGAUAUGACUCCAUAACGCAUGUUGUGGGGUGGAAAGCCUUGUGCGGCUAGGGAUGGGCCCGCGGCCUAUCAGCUUGUUGGUGGGGUGAUGGCCUACCAAGGCGACGACGGGUAGCCGGCCUGAGAGGGCGACCGGCCACACUGGGACUGAGACACGGCCCAGACUCCUACGGGAGGCAGCAGUGGGGAAUCUUGCGCAAUGGGCGAAAGCCUGACGCAGCGACGCCGCGU
rnacentral:rRNA from 1 species